rnacentral:rRNA from 1 species
CCUACGGGUGGCAGCAGUGGGGGAUAUUGGACAAUGGGGGAAACCCUGAUCCAGCGACGCCGCGUGAGUGAAGACGUACUUCGGUAUGUAAAGCCCUGUCAGCAGGGAAGAAAGAAAUGACGGUACCUGACCAAGAAGACCCGGCUAACUACGUGCCAGCAGCCGCGGUAAUCCGUAGGGGGCAAGCGUUAUCCGGAAUUACUGGGUGUAAAGGGAGCGUAGACGGUGAAGGAACUCUGGAGUGAAAGGCGGGGGCCCAACCCCCGCACUGCUCUGGAAAUUGCGUAACUAGAGUGCCCGAGAGGUAUGCGGAAUGCGUGGUGUAGCGGUGAAAUGCGUAGAUAUUAGGAAGAACACCAGUGGCGAAGGCAGCUUACUGGAGUGCAACUGACGUUGAGGCACGAAAGCGUGGGUAGCAAACAGGAUUAGAUACCCCUGUAGUC